rnacentral:rRNA from 1 species
UACGUAGGGUGCGAGCGUUAAUCGGAAUUACUGGGCGUAAAGCGUGCGCAGGCGGUUCGCUAAGACAGGUGUGAAAUCCCCGGGCUCAACCUGGGAAUGGCGCUUGUGACUGGCGGGCUAGAGUACGGCAGAGGGGGGUGGAAUUCCACGUGUAGCAGUGAAAUGCGUAGAGAUGUGGAGGAACACCGAUGGCGAAGGCAGCCCCCUGGGCCGAUACUGACGCUCAUGCACGAAAGCGUGGGGAG